ACUCAUAAAAGUUUGUUUCUUUAAGAAAGUUUUAAAUAAAAAAGGAAUAAUUUUGAAUAUGGGGUUCGCUAUCAAAUCCACUUUUGAUGAGUAUAAAAAUCCUCCAAACUUAGCUAUGCAUUAACCAAGCAGAAUUCCUUCCAGUCCUAACACAAAAGCUUCAACUUUUAUUGCAUCAAUGGCAUGCCAACAAGGCACCAAGCCAGCUGAUCGCCAUGGCCAGCACCACCACCAUCGCCGGCACCCGCACCCGCACCCGCACCAGCAUCCUCACCCGCACCAGCAUCCUCACCCGCACCCACACCAGCAUCCGCACCCGCACCCGCACCCGCACCAGCACCCGCACACCCGCACCCACACCCACACCACCACCACCACCCACCACCACCACCACCACCACCACCAACAACAACAUGAACACCAUUGCGUCGGCAUCCAUGCACCCGACAAGUGCAACUGCGCCUUCAAAGGCCACCAUCACGACCAUGCUCCACCGGCACCAGGCGCGGUGCACCACUCUGGCAAUGACUGCAACUGCAAGGAAAGUGGGUCAAAAAAGAAGAAGGAACACAAAGAGAAAAAGGAAGGAUGUUCGUUGCAUAACAUCAAGGAAGCCUUUUCUGACCAUAGCAGUGAUAGUAGUGACGGUGAAAAUGAAUGUCACAAUUAAAAGAAAUGAACGGAGAGAAGGAAGGUGCAUCAAUUAAAAGAACAGUGUGGAUGCCUCUAAACUAGCUACUACUACUAUGAAUUUGCGUGAAGCAGAAAUAAAGAUACACUAUGUUGUAUAAAGAUGAUAAUUUAUAAGACUUUACUGUACCUAUUUCUUUCUUGUUUGAAAUAAAACUUCUGUAUUCCUAUCCUUGUUAUCGA